rnacentral:rRNA from 1 species
UACGUAGGGAGCAAGCGUUGUCCGGAAUCAUUGGGCGUAAAGCGCGCGUAGGUGGCCUCGUAAGUCCGCUGUGAAAGUCAAAGGCUCAACCUUUGAAAGCCGGUGGAUACUGUGAGGCUAGAGUACGGAAGAGGCGAGUGGAAUUCCUGGUGUAGCGGUGAAAUGCGCAGAUAUCGGGAGGAACACCGGUGGCGAAGGCGGUUCUCUGGGCCUUACCUGACGCUGAGGAGCGAAAGCGUGGGGAGCGAACAGG